UAUCUACCCCGUUCUCAUUCACAUCACAUGCAAACGGCACAUCGCAGGCAGUUAUAAUCGCAGCAAUAAUUAAAGCUAAACUUUAAAUAGGUGAUGAUCAUGGAUUCUAAUUAGGUCAUAUUACAAGCACAUGCACGUCAAUCGAUCAGUUGGUGUUCAACUCUUGAAUUGGUUCCAAGCCUCCUUGAUUCGAUCCUUGAUCAACUCUUGAUCCUAUCGCCAUCAACCGCUCAGAUCGCCGUUCA
rnacentral:lncRNA from 1 species